UCCCGCGUAGCUCAGUGGUAGAGCGGUCGGCUGUUAACCGAUUGGUCGUAGGUUCGAGUCCUACCGCGGGAGCCA
rnacentral:tRNA from 2 species